CGGACAAGCGAGGGCCGAAGAGCCGCCUUCUGCUACGACAUGUGGCCGCAGCCUCGCUCGGCCUGGGCGGGGAACAGGCGAGCCGCUGCCGCCGCCGCUAUGAGGAGGUCGCCCUGGAUCCUGACUGUCAGCAGAGACUAGCCCUGGAUCAAUACCUUUGACUGGGUUUUCGCUCUCACACAGGACAGUGGACAUGUGCCCCCAGUUUCCUGGGUCUAUAGAGUGUGCAUCCAACAUGGAUUCAUUUUCAUAAACAAAAAUGGGUUUCAUGAGCAAAUUCUGCAAAGGCUAAAAAGGGGUUUGGUGGAAGGGGAGUAUGUUUGGCACUAUUUUUCAUAGUGUGGCCUGGGUAGUGUUGGGCAGGGCAACUCGGGGCAGGACCUUUUCUGCUAUAGCCCCACACUUGCAGAAGGUGGUCCCAUAGAGUACCAUCUGCAUAAUUUUUUGACCAGCCUCCGAAACAUCUUUGUUGUUGCUUUCAUGGAUUCAUUUUAACUGGGUGGCAGCAGUGGUGGGGUUCUUUAUACUUCGUUAUAUUCAUGUUGUUUUUGCUAAUUUUUUUAUGUUGGUAUUUUAAAAAUUUUGAGUGUUUUAAAUGUUUAAGGUGUAUUUAUAUAUUGUUUAUUGAUUGCUGUUUAGUUUGUGUAUCAUGUUUAAUGCUUUGUGAUGAUAUUCUCCUAAAAGGCAGGAUAGAAAACUAUUAAAUAAAUAAAUAAAUAAAUAAAUCAGAUAUCUAUUACUCAGCCAGCAAAGUUUUCGGCAAGUUACUUUCUCUCAACUUCAUCUUUCUCAUAAGGUUAUUGUGAAGAUAAACUGAGCUAUCUGUAUACUACUCUGCUGCUUGGAUAAAGGGAUACAAAGGGGAUGGAUGAAAUCAUACAGAAAAGUAUUUUGUUUCACUUCUGGAAAAACCAGUAGUUCAGUACUUGAGAAAGUAAAAUAAAAGGCAGGCCUUCCAUCUCUGAAGUAAUUAGUCCUGUCAUUUGAAACCUUCUUUUUGUGCAAUUUGAUUUCAAAGAAGAACUCAUCAGGUUUUUCAAGGAGAAGAUGAAAGGCUUGGUCAGGGGAGAAUGAAGGGGGAGAAAUAUGGCCUGUUGGCAAUUUAACAGAUAAUGUAUGUAAGUAAGUAUUGUACUGAAAACAUUUUUGUAACUCAACACAAAAUUUUUUGCAGGUUUAGCUCCAAAGUAAAUCCUACUGUGUUCAAUGGUG